GUCCGAAUGACUAGUCCCAAAUAGGACGAAAUGCGCAUCUUGGAU
rnacentral:hammerhead_ribozyme from 1 species